UCCUGAUUAGCUCAGUUGGUAGUGCGCUUAACUGGAAAUGGAGAGGUCUCCGGUUCGAUAACGGGACCAGGCG
rnacentral:tRNA from 1 species